rnacentral:rRNA from 1 species
UUCCGGUUGAUCCUGCCGGACCUGACUGCUAUCGGAUUGAUACUAAGCCAUGCGAGUCUUUGUAGUAAUACAAGGCAGACGGCUCAGUAACGCGUAGUCAACCUACCCUAUGGACGGGAAUAAUCUCGGGAAACUGAGCAUAAUACCCGGCGUACCACCAUUCCUGGAAUGGUUGGUGGUUAAAAUGAUUCGUCGCCGUAGGAUGGGACUGCGACCUAUCAGCUUGUUGGUGAGGUAAAGGCCCACCAAGGCGAUUACAGGUACGGGCUCUGAGAGGAGAAGCCCGGAGAUGGGUACUGAGACACGGACCCAGGCCCUAUGGGGCGCAGCAGGCGAGAAAACUUUGCAAUGUGCGAAAGCACGACAAGGUUAAUCCGAGUGAUUUCUGCUAAAGGAAUCUUUUGCCAGUUCUAAAAAUACUAGUGAAUAAGGGGUGGGCAAGUUCUGGUGUCAGCCGCCGCGGUAAAACCAGCACCUCAAGUGGUCAGGAGGAUUAUUGGGCCUAAAGCAUCCGUAGCCUGCUCUGUAAGUUUUCGGUUAAAUCUAUAUGCUCAACAUAUAGGCUGCCGAAAAUACUGCAGUGCUAGGAAGUGGGAGAGGUAGACGGUACUUGGUAGGAAGGGGUAAAAUCCUUUGAUCUAUCGAUGACCACCUGUGGCGAAGGCGGUCUACCAGAACACGUUCGACGGUGAGGGAUGAAAGCUGGGGGAGCAAACCGGAUUAGAUACCCGGGUAGUCCCAGCUGUAAACGAUGCAGACUCGAUGAUGCAUUGGCAUAUAGCCAGUGCAGUGUCGCAGGGAAGCCGUUAAGUCUGCCGCCUGGGAAGUACGUACGCAAGUAUGAAACUUAAAGGAAUUGGCGGGGGAGCACCACAAGGGGUGAAGCCUGCGGUUCAAUUGGAUUCAACGCCGGG